GCCUGCAGUCUGAAGGCUCCAGCCGUAGACGGAGAAAGAAGAGAAAGGGAGGACGAGGAGUCAUCCACAGGUUGUCUGUCCGUUUGAUGAACAGGCGGUCUAGAGUUUAUAAAGUACAGUUUAGGCUGACUAAUGAAACACAACACAGAAAAAAAAACGAUAAGCUAAAGACGAAUAGGAGGGAUGGGUUCAGCACAGGGCUGGAGCUGAACCAGGGCGGCGCAGGACUUCUACUGCAUGAGGCAGGAGUUUCAUCACCACCACUACGAGUCAGCACAUUUCCCAAUCCAAUUCUGUCUUCUGCGUUCAUCCACAUUCGCCCACACGAUAUCAACCCUGAAGCGGAGGGCAGUGGCCUCGGUAACGGGAACGCCAGGUAAGAAAUCGUCCACUCAAUCUCAGCCGACAGAUUUCAUUCGUCGACUGAGGGGGAAGACGAGUCAUCAAUCGAUGGCGAGAUCAGAAAUCUCGGGCGGUCUGGGGAAUUGUUUGAAGUUAUAACUCUGUUGGCUCGUGUGUUUCGACGGUAAUUCACUCUGUAUUUAAAUGUCCUUCAAAUGCAAACACAGUCACAUGAGAUGGGACAGGAAGACAGACUCAGCAUGUAAGGCUACAUCCGACUGAAGGAGCCAAGUCGGCAUAUAUGCCCACCACACACACACACACACACACACACACACACACACACACACACACACACACACACACACACACACACACACACACACACACACACACACACACACACACACACACACACACACACACACACACACACGGCCCUGCUGCCGUGAGAAGCCAUUAAGCAGACGCACAAAGGCAGAAACACAUACUCAGACGCAAGCAAAUGCAUAAACACAAACAUGCGUGAUUAGAAACACGCACGCACGCACGCACUCACAUACAGACAAACACACAGUCCAUGUUCAUGCUGGGUCUAGGAGGUCCUGUUCUGAUGGAGGAAGGGAAAAGGAUGGAAAGAGGGGCAUACACAACAACAGCGCGUGACGUCUUUGAGGUCCAUGUUGCCAGGGACUGGCUCCAUCGCUACAAGGACGGAUCCUGACACAAUCUCACCAAGACACGCCCGCUGUUUUACGACCGGCCCACGCACUGUUUAUCCGUGUUCAUGCCACUCACGCUGCAAUAAACCGCUUAAACGCACAUCUGGGAGCAACCAUCAGACACACCAAACGAGAGGUAAACACAACCAACGAAACCCGACAACAACAACAACAACGCUGCAACACUGAACUCUCAUCAUCCAACUAGUGGUCGGGUCAAUAGACUAUUCUUUUUAUUGAACUGAACAUUAUUUACAUUAUUUACGUUGGAUGUCUGAACGCGGCUGACGCCACUGUCUUCCUCGUCCUGGUAACCCGGCAGGCUCCACAAUGGAGCUGCGGCCCACCCUGCAAUCCAGGGUCCGACGGCUGAUGCAACCCAAAGCAAGAAGGCAGGCUCUGCUUCGCCACCUGACAACACACGGUUCCCCGCACAGAGCACACGUGGUGGCUGACUUCCCACCGCUUACAAAGGGCAUUCACACGCCAUGGACGGGAAGCUGUGUGCAGGCCUGCCUGUCUGCUCUCAGUUCUUCAUUUCACGGAUAGUGAGGUUAAUGAAGGCAUAUGAUUAUGCCUCAUGCUAUGACACAUCGUUGUCGUUGCGACAUUGCAGAGCCGAGAGUUCCCUUUGAAGGGAAUCACGUAGUGUUGACAAUUCUUACAUAAUUACAUUUCUGACAGUGCUGUACUUUCCACUAGAAUGUGGUCUGGCGAUCAACCUAAUUUAUUUUUCUGCAUUUGCCUGGAAUAGAGCAAAUAAUACAUGCAUAUAACUACCCUCGCAAAACAAUGCUUUAAACUAAUAAUACUUUACGUUGCUAUUGUUAUUAUUAUGACAAUGCAUAUUUUAAUAUUUACUACUAUUAUUACUUGCACUUGUUAUUGUUGGAUCUUGUUGUUGUUGGAAAAUGCAAGACACAACUGAGUUACAUGUUUGUCGGCAUAAAGGUCAGGACAUUAGAACCUAAUCGAAUCAGCCGAGAAAAAAAAAAAAGAGACAGAGAGAGAGAGAGAGAGAGAGAAAGAGAGAGAGAGACUAGGAAGACCCGGGAGACAAAGAGAAAGGGGCCUGGUUUGUAUUUUGUUGUUGCUGUUUGGAAGCACUCACAUCUGAACAAUGUCAGGCGGCUAUUAUUAACUCUCAGCACUGCGCAGUCGUCCUCUUCCUCUUCAGGAUAAUAUCGAUCCUCUGUCUCUUUCCCUACGUGAGGCUGGGCGUCUCAUGCGGUCCAUGCCCAGAGAUCGUAACAAAAUAACACAUGUGGAUGUUCUCAGAAAAAGCACCGUGCUUUUUAGGCCUUGCAUGGAAAGGGGGUCCGGGGGGGGGGGAGGUGUUGCUGUACCGAUGCACGCCUCUAUUGUGAAAGCAAGUCGAUGUCGGACACCAGGAGGAGCGCGUGGAGAACGGAGCUGGAGGAGGAAGGGUCGGCCGCUGAUGGUGGCGGCGGUCUCCCAGCUGGAGACACACGUGUGCGCUCCAGCUGUGUUCCGGAAAACACCCGCAUUAUGUAACAGGGCCGCCUCGCACACAUACAGAUGGUGGAGGGAUGGACGAAUUGACGGACAGACUUGUGCAUCAGGUGUUUACAAUGAAUUCACCCAUAAGAAUUCACCCAUUCACACAGCGAGGAGGAUCUCUGUAAUUGUUCAACUCAUCCUGCUUUAAUAGAAGAGAACUCCACAAAGAACACUAACACCGUGGAGCAACAAUGUAACAGUACAACUGUGGUUGUCCCACUCCCCCCCCCCCCCUCCCCGAACAUCACAUCUGGACCCCUGCAAUGCACGCUGUGUUACCCUGCGAGCCUUGAGGACGGGAGACAAAGGCUGGUGGGCCAAAGGGCACCGGUCCAAAGUGUACACAAAGAAUUUGAACAGCUGCUUGGGACAGGAAAUAGGAAGAAAUGUGAGAAUGCAGUACACUGCAAACCAUGUGUCUAACAGUACGGCCAGCAAGGCAUAUCUACUGCCAUGUCUGGGAUAGUGUGUUACACAUCUUCAAAUUCAACUUUAGAAUCUACGCAUAAAUUAAUGUCUGUCUGUCUGUCUGUCUGUCUGUCUGUCUGUCUGUCUGUCUGUCUGUCUGUCUGUCUGUCUGUCUGUCUGUCUGUCUGUCUGUCUGUCUGUCUGUCUGUCUGUCUGUCUGUCUGUCUGUCUGUCUGUCUGUCAGAGAUGUGUUGCAUUUCAUCAUACUCUUAUCAUUGGAUGAAGAUCAAGAUCAAGUUAAAAAAGCAAAUUCUUCUAUGACAAAUGACAAAAGAAGAAGUCAGAAACAAUUAAUUUUGAUUUGGCUUGACCACAACUGUUCGGUCAGUGGGUUUGAGAACUCAAAGAAAAGCCUAUCCGCCACACAGGGGUGCUACCGUUGGGGGGCUAUUUAUAUAAAAUGAGUGGAGCUACUAUCCACAACCCCUAAUUCGUUUUGGUUUUCUAGCAAAGAACCGUGUCACAUGCACGGUCCAGACAUGGUCCUAUCUUUAGACAUCCUGUGUGAUCUCCCCAGCUCCCCAGGAGAGAGGCAUUGGUAACCCAGCUCGUCCAUAGAGAAAGGGGUGUGUGUGUGUGUGUGUGUGUGUGUGUGUGUGUGUGUGUGUGUGUGUGUGUGUGUGUGUGUGUGUGUGUGUGUGUGUGUGUGUGUGUGUGUGUGUGUGUGUGUGUGUGCGCGUCUAGCAGUUAAAAUUAGAGUUGUGAAUCCAUCUCAAUUACAAUGGCCCGGUUCGUCACGACGAGACUGGGACCAGCGCAGAGCCUCACCGCCCGGGUCGUUUACCAAGUAGUCCACAGGGCGCGUGUUAGCAGACACGCACAGGAGAGGAUAAAUAUAGACACACACACACACACACACACACCUACUCGCUCAUAAUCACACUGAGACACACGCACAGGCCGACUCAAACAUAAUGACACUUAGACACACACCCAGGCUCAGAGUCUUACGUUCACUAACCUUAACCCUGACGCACACACACACACUCAUAAUCACACACACACACACACACACACACACACACACACACACACACACACACACACACACACACACACACACACACACACACACACACACACACACACACACACACACACACACACACACAAAUAA